GUCGUCAGCUCGUGUCGUGAGAUGUUGGGUUAAGUCCCGCAACGAGCGCAACCCUUACUGUUAGUUGCUACGCAAGAGCACUCUAGCAGGACUGCCGUUGACAAAACGGAGGAAGGUGGGGACGACGCCAAAUCAUCAUGCCCCUUAUGACCUGGGCUACACACGUACUACAAUGGCCGUUAACAGAGAGAAGCGAUACCGCGAGGUGGAGCGAACCUCAAAAAGCGGUCUCAGUUCGGAUUGCAGGCUGAAACCCGCCUGCAUGAAGUUGGAAUUGCUAGUAAUCGCGGAUCAUAAUGCCGCGGUGAAUACGUUCCCGGGA
rnacentral:rRNA from 2 species